AACGCACAUUGCGCCCUUUGGCAUUCCGAGGGGCAUGCCCGUUCGAGCGUCAUUAAAUCCAAUCCAGCCCGGCUGGGUGUUGGGCGAUCCGGGGGCCGUGUGGUCCCCGCGCCUCAAAGUCCGUGGCUGUUCGCACCCGAAUCUCAGCGUCGUGGAAUCGUCUCGCUGGUGAGAGGGGGGCCGUUCGGCCGUCGUCGAGACGAACGUUAUUUCUUCAGGUUGACCUCGGAUCGGGUAGGAAUACCCGCUGAACUUAA
rnacentral:misc_RNA from 1 species